rnacentral:rRNA from 1 species
UACGAGGGGGGCAAGCGUUGUUCGGAAUUAUUGGGCGUAAAGGGUGCGUAGGCGGUUUUGUAAGUCUUGUGUGAAAUCUUCAGGCUCAACUUGGAGACUGCACGAGAAACUGCAGGGCUUGAGUGUGGGAGAGGUGAGUGGAAUUCCUGGUGUAGCGGUGAAAUGCGUAGAUAUCAGGAGGAACACCUGUGGCGAAAGCGGCUCACUGGACCACAACUGACGCUGAUGCACGAAAGCUAGGGGAGCAAACGGG